rnacentral:rRNA from 1 species
CACGAACCGUACGAACGUUAUUCGGAAUUACUGGGCUUAAAGGGUUUGUAGGCGGCCUUAUAAGUCAGGUGUGAAAGCCCUCGGCUCAACCGAGGAAUAGCGCUUGAUACUGUAAGGCUUGAGGGAGACAGGGGUAAGCGGAACUGAUGGUGGAGCGGUGAAAUGCGUUGAUAUCAUCAGGAACACCGGUGGCGAAGGCGCUUUCUGGGUCUUACCUGACGCUGAGGCAACGGAAAGCCAGGGGAGCGAACGGG